CACAUGCAAGUCGAACGAUAAUGCCCAGCUUCUUGGCGGAUUAGUGGCGAACGGGUGAGUAAUACGUGAGUAACCUGCCCUUGACUCUGGGAUAAGCCUGGGAAACCGGGUCUAAUACUGGAUACUACUUGCCACCGCAUGGUGGGGGGUGGAAAGGGUUUUACUGGUUUUGGAUGGGCUCACGGCCUAUCAGCUUGUUGGUGGGGUAAUGGCUCACCAAGGCGACGACGGGUAGCCGGCCUGAGAGGGUGACCGGCCACACUGGGACUGAGACACGGCCCAGACUCCUACGGGAGGCAGCAGUGGGGAAUAUUGCACAAUGGGCGAAAGCCUGAUGCAGCGACGCCGCGUGAGGGAUGACGGCCUUCGGGUUGUAAACCUCUUUCAGUAGGGAAGAAGCGAAAGUGACGGUACCUGCAGAAGAAGCGCCGG
rnacentral:rRNA from 1 species